CAGCAAGCAGCAGUCGUAAUGGAUGUUCAUGCCAUGCAGAACAUGCUACAACUAUCACGGCGGCACCCGUCACUCAGUCACACUCCAGCCAAUGUCACGAGUACUCAGGACACCAGGAAUUGAUGAAAAUCAUAUCAGCAGACAAGUGUGUUAGUUACACGAAAG